UAGAAUUUCGCUUUCCAUUGUGUAUCGCGUCGUUCGAAAUGAAUGCUAUUUUUUAUCAGCACUGAGUAUCAACUGGAGGGCAAGCCUGGUGCCAGCAGCCGCGGUAAUUCCAGCUCCAAGAGCGUAUACUAACGUUGUUGUUGUUAAAAAGCUCGUAGUUGAACCUAGAGCACACUGGGAGUCGGGUCCCUCACUCUCCCCUAUCCGGGGUUUGUGUGGGCUCGGCGGGGUGUUGGCUGGAAGAAGGAAAAAAGAUCUACUUGAGAGAGAGAAAUGACAGCCCUGUCUCUCUCAAGUCGACCCUUUCUCCUUCUCUCUCCCAACUGCCUGGUGUGUUCGCCGAAUGCGGAAAUGAUUGGUGUCCUCCGACCGAGUUCAAAUUCUCCUUGAUUGGUGUCACGCAGAGUGGGUUCGUACACGACAAGUACACAGAACCUUAACGGGGGUGGACCAACGGUGUUGGGGUAUCCAGAUUGAGGGUGGCUCGUUCCCUUCGGGGUUCGUGACUCUCUCUUUCACCGGGCCCCUCACCGGGACUCCACCCGAUCAAAAAGUGCGAAACCGUUGGUGGUGGAAAGAAAAAAAGAAGAGCCAUGCAAAAAAAAGAGGCGUGUCCUCUUCCUCCCACGGGGAUGUCUGCAGCCGUUACCGUAAACAACACAGCGCGUCCAAGGCAGCCGGAAGAUGCUAGGUGUUCCCCAACCGGGGUUCACCAAAACACCCUUCCACAGGCUGAAUGCUCAAGUGCGGAAUGACAAGGGAUCGACCAAAAGAGGGGAAGACAAUGACAAGGGAUCGACCAAAAAGAGGGGAAGACCUGCCCAACUUCUCCAUGUGCGUGCGAAUGUAAAAAAAAGAAAGAACGAAACAAAGCAAAGACUGUUUCUGUCGGUGUUUGGACCUCUACCAAAAGGAAGGAUGGUUAUGUGUUUACACUUAACUGUUCUCUCCUUCUUUGGACAAUCCGGUACUGUGAAGGGUGUGCAAAUCCCAAGAAUGGGCCCCCCUCUCUUUCCUUGCCGAUACUCCCCUAUUGGGGGGUAUCUGCUUGGGGAGGAAGGGUGUGCUCCUCUUCUUGUUGUACCCCUCUCCCAGUGCUGAUCGGUAUUAAUGGGACUGCUCCCGAGCCAUGCGAAUUGGGACGACAGAGGUGAAAUUCUCAGAUCGAUGUGGGACAUGCGGAAGCGAAGGCGCUCUGCUGGACCGUAUCCGUCAAUCAAGAACGAGAGUGUGGGGAUCGAAGAUGAUCAGAUACCGUCGUAGUCCACCUACCGUAAACUGUGCCUGCUCGGUCACGAUUGGGGUGUUCCCUUUAACUUGCUCGCAAGUCACUGGGAACCAACUCUGUCGGUGCCACUCCUCCAUUCAACGAGAAAUCCAGAGCUUCUGGGUUCAGGGGGGAGUACCGUCGCAAGGCUGAAACUUAAAGGAAUUGACGGAAUGACACCACAAGACGUGGAGUAUGCGGCUUAAUUUGACUCAACACGGGAAACGUWACCAGGUCAGGACAUACAAGGAUGACAGAUGUUCUUUUUUGAUUUAUUGAACGGUGGUGCAUGCCCGUUCCUGGUGGGGGGAGURAUUUKUCUGGUUGAUUCSGAUAACGAGCGAGAUUUCUGCUUCACAAUAGUCGCUGGCCUCGUCCGGAUUGCUUCGGCUUUCCAAUACUAGGGGUACGAGCGGUUGCUCCAGCCAAGGGGGUUCAAGGGUUCGCCUUUGUUCUCCCCUUGUCUGUGACAGCCAAUCCCCCCGAGAGUGUCAGUUUUUCUUCCUGUCAGUGCAGGAGAAAUCUCCACGCGACAUUCGUGUCAAGUGGUACGUGCUUCUUUGCGGGGCCGCACACGGUUACUUGCCCCCUAAGUAUGCGCAUGCCCGAGCCAACAGCAGGUCUGUGAUGCCCCUAAAUGUUCUGGGCUGCACGCGCACUACAAUGUUACGGUGAACAAGCUCUAAUCUCACGUGCUCUCCUUCGGGGGGGUGCGUGCAAGAUCCUUCUCAGACACGGGGAACCUGGGAAAUCUGAUCGAAACCGUUCCGUGACUGGGAUAGAUGAUUGAAACUAUUUGCCUUGCAACGAGGAAUGCCUAGUAUGUGUACGUCACUAGCGUGCACCGAUUUCGUCCCUGCCAUUUGUACACACCGCCCGUCGUUGCUACCGAUGGUGUGGGAAUAGAGGCCUCAGGAGGAGGGGUAUCUUCCUUUCGAGGAGGUGCUUCUCCGAAUUUGGCCGAUGUUCUCUCACURAAAGAAACAAAAAUCGUAACAAGGGUGCUGUAAGUGA
rnacentral:rRNA from 1 species